UACGGAGGGUGCAAGCGUUAAUCGGAAUUACUGGGCGUAAAGCGCACGUAGGCGGCUUUGUAAGUUAGAGGUGAAAGCCCAGGGCUUAACCCUGGAAUUGCCUUUAAGACUGCAUCGCUAGAAUCGUGGAGAGGUAAGUGGAAUUCCGAGUGUAGAGGUGAAAUUCGUAGAUAUUCGCAAGAACACCAGUGGCGAAGGCGGCUCACUGGCCCGGUACUGACGCUGAGGUGCGAAAGCGUGGGGAGCAAACAGG
rnacentral:rRNA from 1 species